GAAGAAGUAAAUAUUCUUGGUGCAGUAGUUAAUUUUAUCUUUAGUUUAUUAAAAUAAAAAUUUUUAGGUGAAAUUUUAAUUUUUUAAUAUUUAUGUUGGAUGAAGCUAUGAAAUUUAUUUGAAAGACGAGGAUUAGAUACCCUUUUAUUAUAAAUGUUAAUUUUGCAACCAGGGUAGUAAUAGUUAUGUUCUUGAAACCCAAAGAAUUUGGCGGUAUUUUAGUCCUUUCAGAGGAAUCUGUCCCGUAAUCGACAUUCCACGAGAUGAUUUACUUAUUUUUGUAGUUCAGUUUGUAUACCUCCGUCAUAAGAAGAUCUUUUUAGAGAUAAAAUUUUCUUAAUAUAUUAAAUGUAAUAUGUCAGGUCAAGGUGCAAUUUAUGAAUAAGAGGAGAUGGAUUACAAUAAAUUUAUUUAAAUGGAUUGAAUUAUUUAAUUUUUUAUGAAGGGGAUUUGAUAGUAAUUUUAAUUAUUUGUUAUUAMAUUUGGCUCUAAAGUAUCCAAC
rnacentral:rRNA from 1 species